CGAACUUACUCACAACGCUGAACUUCCUGCCUAGUGGACCACAUUUUCCAAGACCUGUUACUGCGUGAUGUGUCUUUUUCCCUCUGCUCUGUAAUGCCAGCUCUAUCAUGCAGCGACUCCCUUAUAUAUGUAGCGCUUCUUCAAACUUUCCAUUUUGCUGGUCUCUCCUAUGCUUAUGCUUUGUAAUAUGGGUUGCUGUCUGAUAGAGCUAGUCCUUCUUUGCUUUUCUUUUGCAGAAUUCCCUUGGCUAUUUGUGGACUUUUACUCUUCUUUAUAAGUUUUUAGAAUUAAUCUUUCCACUUGAAAAAUCAUCUUGAAUUCAAGUUCCGGGGAUCUAAGGUACGGCAGAAUAUCUAUACAUAGGAUGGCAACGUGCCUACCUAGAGUUUCCCCGCUUGUUGGCAGAUGCAGUCACAUGACACAGUCCUGCUCAGUGAGAUAGACUUUGUCCUCGAAUUCCAUGAGUGGGAGCACCCAAUCAGAACUGCCUGUAUCUGGAUGAUGUCUGUCAUUUAUCUACCUCCCAGACUUGUUGGGAUCAUCAGGUUUUGGCAUUGUGACCUGCAGCUGCUAUCCACGUCCUUGUCCAUGUCUCCUGGUGAAUAUGUGCUCCCUGGGGCUGACGUUCUAGCCCUGGGAGCUGACCUUACUUUGUGCUAAUGAGAUUUCUACCCAUCUGUGACCAUAAAGGGAAAGCUGAUAAAGACCCUGGAGUUUGGGAAUCUGAAGCGGUGGAUCUUAUUGUCAUGGAUUGGUUCCUAUUCAUGACAAAUUCAUAUUGCAAAGGACCGAAAACCCAGCAGUUUUCUUAAACGUCAGAAUAAACCUGCUGUUAUUUUAAAAGCAUUAAAAAUUCUUUUAAACGGCAAAAAUCACUCUUAAAAGUCUUUUUAUUUCAAAUUAAUAGCUUCUAAAUGUGAAGGUCUCUGCUUUGUGACUAACAAAAACGUUUGCCAAUAUUCCAAAUUAGAUUAUUUUGUUUUUAGCAAGAAUCAGACUUUUUUUUUGAGCCAGAGGAGACUUUA
rnacentral:lncRNA from 1 species